AUUGAACGCUGGCGGCAGGCCUAACACAUGCGAGUCGAGCGGGGUUUUCGGACCUAGCGGCGGACGGGUGAGUAAUGCGUAGGAAGCUGCCCGAUAGAGGGGGAUACCAGUUGGAAACGACUGUUAAUACCGCAUAAUGUCUACGGACCAAAGUGUGGGACCUUCGGGCCACAUGCUAUCGGAUGCGCCUACGUGGGAUU
rnacentral:rRNA from 1 species